AGCGAACAAGCAUUUAGAAAACAAUGAGCUUUUGAUGACAUAAUCUCUGCUCUAGAGAUUGUUACCAGAGUCAGAGAGGAAACAAAAAAAUAUAGAGCCUUAUAAUAUUUUACAUUUAAUCAAUGUAAGGACGCGGUUUCACGCGGUGUAGUGGAACCAAUUCGAGCUGGUCGAGCGGCUGCACAUACAUUAGCAUAUAUUAUAUAAAUACAAAAGUUUCCAGGGAAUCUCUACAUAAACACAUACAUGUCAGGAGAUUUUUAAUUUUGCUGAAGAUUUCCCCGGAUUAUCUGUCAUCCCGACUUUUCGCUUGAAUGAGGCGAUUUUACUUUACAUCGCGGGAUCGUUCACCUAAUUCUAUCAUCUAAAACAGUCUUCUUAUUUUUAACGUUAGAAGAGAAACUGUUUCAGAUAAAAAAGGGGCAAAAUUUAAGGGGGAGAAAGUUUUGUAAAAUAUGCGUGUUGAAGAGAGACUUGUCAAAGAUAAUAUCAUGAUAUCAAACUCUAGAUUAUACAAAGUUCUCUCGCGAUCGGGGGAAUUUACUUCUUCUCGUGCAAUCGUAGUUAAUUGUAACUCGCCAAUCUCCCAAUAGAAGAGGGGCGGCGUUAGAAAACACCAUGUAGCAUUAGAUUUACAUAGGCGGAGGAAAGCAGUAUUGGAUGCAAUUGCGUUAUGAAAAGUUGCGUGGUGGUGUAAUAAAAUAAAAUUUAUUUUUUUUUUUUUGCAUCUUUCGCGCGUGUAUAUGACGUUUAUCUGAAACGUUAUUUUUCUAUAGUUGGAAAUAUACGAGCACAAGGAGGUUUUGGAUGAUACUGGUAGAUGGACUACGCUGUUGUACAGUGUUGACACAUACGUAUCUACCAAAAGCAAAACGUAUGUUCAUUAUACAUAUACGUACACAUACGUGUGUGAAUAUAUACAUAUAUAUAUGCAUAUGAUGUCGCGAAUAAGAUCAAUAUGUUUACAGACACGUGCGUAUUACGUAACACACAUAUUCUUGUUCGAUGUCAUACGCAUGUAUGUGUGCAUAUGUAUAAUAUUGCAAUAAAAUUAAUACUAUAUUAUAAAUCUUCAUUCUAUUGCUGUGAUUUUUUGUGUAUUUUCCCUAUAUAUCUUUUACAUGUAUGUGCUUUUUUAUCAGUAAAAAAAAUAACAUUCUAAUUUAGAUACAAUAUAUUAAAGUCCUAUAUUAUAAUAUAGGAUUAUAAGUACACUAUAUGAUAUAUCUCGCGACGAUAAGGUUGUUCAUCAAAAUAUCGAGAUUGCAUGGAAAAUUGAACUCACAUUAAAGUUAAAUCAAUGUAUAUUUUUCUAAUUUAAAUUAUAAAUUCAAUUAGUCAAAUGAACUUCCCUAAAUUAAACUUUUUCUAUUCUUGACUAUUCUCUAUUCUCAAACACCAUUCAGAAUAGAGGGUUUGCCCGAUUAAAGCUCGCGCUCGCGUUAUUAUGGCCGAUUACAUAUGGCACUAUGAACACAAUUCUCGUUUCCCGCAAUUCGUCGCAACAGUUAAUUAAUAAUCGCUUGAAGGAAUAUUUCGAUCAUGGAUCUAGAACGGAACGACAAUAAUAUUUACGAUCUUGUAACGCAGUUAGUCGAACACACAUUGCGAAAGAAUCUUUUUGAGAAUGGAAAUUUUUAUGUGCCACCAAGGAACGAUAUUAAGAUAGUGAAACGUUUUCGUUCAAAGGCUUAUGAAAUAUUAUUAAACAAGAGUAAAAAAGUAUACCAAGAAAAUGUAAUAAAUUCUGAAAUUGAUCCCUUGAUGGAGAUAUUAAAGUAUGCCUUUGUACUCAAACUGUCCCUCAGACGUAUGUCGGAAGCAGAAAAGUUGGAAAAUUUAGUAAACGAAUUGUACAUUAGCACGGUUAAUGUAGAAACUGUUCUUCCAAUUUUAAGAUUGUUGAUAGAGCUUAAAAAUUUUCAGACUGAUACAGACACUAUACAAGAUGUAUUUCACUAUGGUAAAACCAAUCCUUGUUUGCCUGAAGACAUUACAUCCACAAAUGGUGUACCAAUGUUUCAAACAUAUCCCAUGGAAUCCUUUAUCAUGCCGGAGAAGUUUGAGGCCAUGUUGGGUAUUCGUAAAACUUCUACUAGGCAAAACAGACAUACAUUGGCUAAUUUUGUUAGUACAGUGUCCUUUGAAAAUCAACAUAUAUCAAAAACUGUAUUAGGAGUUGAAUCAAUUAGAUAUGAUUUUAGGUAUAAUAAUGCUAUUGAAAUGACUCCUUGCAUAUCGAGUUGCAGUACUGAGAAUACAAUAAAACAAAAUAACAUGUUUACUCCCUUUUCAACAAGUAUUAUGGUUGAACAAACAAAUAUGCUAUAUUCAUCUACACAAAGAUUUAUAUCAAAUAUAACUUUACCUUGUGAAUGGAUCCAAUCUGUAAAUUUUCAAAAUGAAAAUAAUUUAUGUGUUAUGCAUGCGUCAGAUAAUUCCAAUUGCAAUUUUAUGAAUGAAUCGGAACAUGUUAGAAAUAUUAAUCUAAUAUGGAAAGAUGUACAAGUUUCCAAUGAUCAUAUCUCAAAAUUACGAACGUGGGAAUCUUUCGGAGCUUCAGAGUCUUCCAAACAGUUACUAUUUGUCACUGAUUUGCCAGAGACAAUGCUGCACUUGGCAAGGAUAAGACAAACGAGUAUCUUAUCAGUGUUAUCAAAAAAGGCAAUGCAUUCCAUACCCCUGAUGCAAGAAAUUUCCCUCAAAAAAUUUGUAUUAGAUGUAAAAUUGUUGUUAUUUGGCAUAGAUUCAGAUUCUUUUAAAUAUAAUACUGUGAUAGGAUUUAAAUUGGAGGAAAAUAUUAGUGUGCAUGGUAUAAAUUCGGAUACAUUGAAGAUUACUUGCCAAGAAGCAAUUUGUUGGGGCAAUAGUUUUAAAGCUCUAUUACUUCUUGUCACGUCUGAUCCACAAACGGGCAAGUUACAACAGGAUGGUCUUAUAUUCAAAGCGAUGUGUACCAAUGUCAAAGAGCUGCUCUUAUAUUAUCGGUCAGCAUUACAAAGAAUUCUUGAUCGAUAUGAAUUUGAUGGAUUGUUAAAUCUCUUGAAAAAGGUUCGGCCACUGGCACUUUUAAUUGUUGAAGUGGCAAGACUGUGCGGUCACUGCAGUCACACUCAAUGCAGCUUAGGCAAUGGAAUUUUAACGCACAUUUAUAAAGAAGUGACCAAAGUCACUAAUCCAAAAGUUGCCUUGGUGUUUUACUCUAUAUUAAAAUCGUGCUGCGAAGUCUAUUUUCGAUUGCUGCAGAACUGGUUAUUCGAAGGAACAUGCGACGACGUUUAUGGAGAAUUUAUGAUUCAGUCUCGAUCUCAUAAUCUACGAAAGAGAGGACGUAAAUUUUGGACGGAGGGCUUUGCAAUCGAUACCGAAUCAAUACCUGGUUUUUUAUCCAAACUAUCAGAGCCGAUAUUGCAAUGCGGGAAGACGCUGCGACUUUUAAAAAUUUGUAAUCCAAAGAAUCCUGUAUGCAAUGUGUCUUUCAAUGCUCCACCGGAAGUAAAGGUUUGUUUGAGCGUGUCCAUGUUGCGAGAACAGAUGCUAAGAUGUCAGGAAUAUAAGCGUGAAAGUGAAGCGGCAUUGGGACCAAUUGUAUCUCUUUUAUCCGCGAUUCAAGAUGAAAAGAAAGCCGAGAGGGAAACGGCUGAACUGGUGAUACGCGCGCAACAUGAAACGUUAUCGAGGCUAAAUAAGGAACGUCAAGAACUUGUCGCGACGACAGCACAACGUAAACGAGAAUUAUUGCAAGAAUUGAAACACCAGGCAGAAGAGAGUGCUUUGUUUAAAGAAAAAAAGAAAGAAUUGGAAAUGCUAGCUGAUAAAUUAUUGCUCGAAAAACUUGAUCGAGAACAGGAAGAAAUACGAGAGCAACAACAGGUUGAGCGAAAACAUCUUACAAAUUACUAUGACAAAUUGACCACUGACUUAGAGUCCAAUCGUAUACGAUCAAAUUGGCGUAAGGUGAGAAUGAGUCAUUUUGAAAGACGCGUAGAACAUUUGAAAUCUACAAAAAAACUCGAUAAAGAAAUAUUGGAAAGUGUCGUCACACUAAGUUUGGAUGAAAAUAUAAUCAAUACUGACGAACAAAAUAAAAAUAUUUCUAUUCCAUCCAGCAUGGAUGUGUCUACAUCUGAAGUGGAAGUUGUGUCUAGUCAAGAUGAAAAUAGCAACUUUUCAGAAAAUGAAAUAUUGAAUACAGUGACAAUAGAUGUUUCUAAUCAAAACGAUACUAAGGGAAAUUUAUCAAUUGCCAAUAUUGCGAGCUCUGAUAUCUCAUCUAGCAAGACCAAUAAAAAUAUUGUUUCGAACGAGAAUGAACAUUUACCACAAGAAUCUUUACCAUUAAACAUUUACAAAAAGAAUAAUGAGAGGAGCAGUCUACAGGAAAAUUUAUCUAAUAUUGGGAGCUCUGAUAUCUCAUCUAGCAAUAUCAAUAAGGCUAUUAUAUCGAAUGAACAUUUACCGCAAGAAUCUUUACCAUUAAACAUCUACAAAAAAAAUAACGAGAGGAGCAAUCUGCAAGAUUUUCUACGUGACGAAGCAAUGAAGACUAUUCGUACGAUUAUGAACGAUAAACAAAUGGCUGCAGUUAAUAUUCGUUCAAGUAAUAUCUUCGAAAGUGACGAAAUUACUGAGAAAUUAGUUGGUACUAUUAAUAGGCCUAAAUCCUUAGUUAUUGAGAGGAUAGAUAAUAUGAACAUAGCACAAACCAACAAACUUAAAGUACUGUUACAAGAAUACGGUAUGACUCCGAAUAAUAAUGAGUUUAGUGCGAUACUAACAGAUAAACAAGAUAAUAUUAAUUGCACAAAUAUAAACGACAAUAACGAGACUAAUAAGCAAAGUUUAGGCAAUACGAAAGAAAAUGGAAACAAUAAUAUUUCUCCAACAUCUGAUAUCAAAUUGACAAAAGAAGAAAUAACAAUUACAAAUGGGCCUAUAAAUAAUGAAGAAUGUUCAAAUAAGAUUAAUGAUUUUAAAGAGCAAGAUCCGAUAUUGAAUAAUUUUCAACGACAAAAUAAUAUAGAUACGCCAAUGUCAUGUACGACUGACAAUUUUACCACGUUAUCGACACAUACUCCUCUGUCACAGAUACCAAACAGCGAUGAUAUAUUCGCUCUAAACAUCGGUCAAGAAUCAUUAUCCGACAUGACAAAAUCAAUCAUGACGGAGGAGACAUACUUUGAAUCUCCGAUGAGUGGUAAUUUUAAAUUGCCGAAUCUGUUUGGCAUUAUAGGUCCCGAUGCGAAAUCAUCGUCGGUCUCAUCGUCAUCUCUGACCAUAGCCGAUGUUGAGAUGAUUGAUCAUACCUCGCUCCAGGUAUAUUUAGAAAAAUCCAUCAUCAUUCCUCUGCAGAUACAAACUCGGCUGGUUAACAACGCGAUUAUCAAAUAUCUAGUGAACGAGUGCAACAUACUUUCGCAUUUGCAUAGUCUACGCAGUUACUUCUUUCUAUUGAACGGCGAAUUCGCAAAGAGUCUAACGGACUCGCUUUAUUCUCGCCUUUACACAAUAUCCGAGCCGAUCGAGCUCUUCAAUUCUGCCACUCUUACGAAUCUCCUGGAAAAGGCGUUAAUGAACUCAUUCAGUAAUAAUUACGCUAAUUCGGAACUUUUGAGUCUUUCCGCUAUCGAUCAACCAUCCCAGUUAUAUAUUUCAGAUCCAAAUGUUUUGGAAUGUCUUUGCCUAAACUAUAAAAUAGCAUGGCCGUUAAAUAUUAUCUUGGAUGAUACGAUGAUGCUGCAAUAUAGCAAAGUGUUUAAAUUCCUAAUAACGACUGGUAGAAUGUCGUGGGUAUUGCAGGAGGACUUCAAUAUAAUGAAGUUAGAACGUAACGUAGUCAACUCGGAGCAAUAUCACAAGUUGCAGUUGUACAGACACUCCAUGACCCAAUUCACAAAUGCUCUUCACAAUUAUUUAACGUGUAGCGUGUUGCACGCAAGUUGGAGCGAGUUCGAAAAGGAUUUACAGAAUUCUCGAACAAUAGAUCAGAUUUAUCUCUCGCACGUAAACUACAUUAAAAGAAUACUUUCGAGAUGUAUGCUUCAUACGCGCGGAGAAAAGAUGCGUGUGUGCUUAAUCAAUAUCUUUAAGAUCAUACUAAAGUUUCACAAUCGCUUAAGAUCGCAAGCUUGGAGGAUCGAUAGUGAUAAUACAAGCCGAUACAGUCAUCCAAAUUUCAAAAGUUUGGAGCAGAUGUAUCAAUCGUUUUGCGAAUGGCGGACAUACAUGGCGCACGUCGCGCACAAAUUUUCCACCAGUGGAUAUCAGCCGCACCUGACGCAUUUUCUCAACGCUUUAAAUAUAAAUCAUAUGUAUGAUUUAACGGCAAAACAAUAAUAUAUAAAAUUUCGUUCUCAUUCGUGUUUCCAUUUACAAUCGAUAUAUCGUAAAAAGAGUAAGGUGAUUCUAUCAACGUAAUUGACGAGAGUUGUAAAAUAUCACAAAAUUCCGAUGUGGAAGAUUCUCGAUGUUUUUGAAGUAUCUAUGAAUAGAGAGACAGAUAUGCGAUUUAUA